rnacentral:rRNA from 1 species
UACGGAGGGGGCUAGCGUUGUUCGGAAUUACUGGGCGUAAAGCGUACGUAGGCGGCUUUGUAAGUUAGAGGUGAAAGCCCGGAGCUCAACUCCGGAACUGCCUUUAAGACUGCAUCGCUAGAAUUGUGGAGAGGUGAGUGGAAUUCCGAGUGUAGAGGUGAAAUUCGUAGAUAUUCGGAAGAACACCAGUGGCGAAGGCGACUCACUGGACACAUAUUGACGCUGAGGUGCGAAAGCGUGGGGAGCAAACAGG